CCUACGGGAGGCAGCAGUGGGGAAUAUUGGACAAUGGGCGAAAGCCUGAUCCAGCCAUGCCGCGUGUGUGAAGAAGGCCUUCGGGUUGUAAAGCACUUUCAGUGGGGAAGAAAGCCUUGGGGCUAAUACCCUCGAGGAAGGACAGCACCCACAGAAGAAGCACCGGCUAACUCCGUGCCAGCAGCCGCGGUAAUACGGAGGGUGCGAGCGUUAAUCGGAAUUACUGGGCGUAAAGCGCGCGUAGGCGGUCUGAUAAGCCGGUUGUGAAAGCCCCGGGCUCAACCUGGGAACGGCAUCCGGAACUGUCAGGCUUGAGUGCAGGAGAGGAGGGUAGAAUUCCCGGUGUAGCGGUGAAAUGCGUAGAGAUCGGGAGGAAUACCAGUGGCGAAGGCGGCCUUCUGGACUGACACUGACGCUGAGGUGCGAAAGCGUGGGUAGCAAACAGGAUUAGAUACCCCGGUAGUC
rnacentral:rRNA from 1 species